rnacentral:tRNA from 1 species
UUAAAGAAAAUUUUUGGCUUUGGGAGCCAAAGAUAAGGGUUUGUCUCCCUUUCUCUUGA